rnacentral:pre_miRNA from 1 species
UACAUACUCCCUUCGUUCGGAAUUACUCGUCCAAGAAAUGAAUGUAUCUAGAUGUAUUUUAGUUGUAUAUACAUCCAUUUUUGUGACAAGUAAUUCCGAACGGAGGGAGUACUAC